rnacentral:tRNA from 1 species
GGUCGGGUGGCCUAAUGGUAAGGCGUUAGAUUUCGGCUCUAAAGACUGGGGGUUCGAAUCCCUCCUCGAUCG